rnacentral:rRNA from 1 species
AACGCGUAGGAAUCUACCCAGUAGUGGGGGACAACCUGGGGAAACCCAGGCUAAUACCGCAUACGCCCUACGGGGGAAAGCGGGGGCCUUAUGGCCUCGCGCUAUUGAGAUGAGCCUGCGUUGGAUUAGCUAGUUGGUGGGGUAAAGGCCUACCAAGGCGACGAUCCAUAGCUGGUCUGAGAGGACGAUCAGCCACACUGGGACUGAGACACGGCCCAGACUCCUACGGGAGGCAGCAGUGGGGAAUAUUGCGCAAUGGGCGAAAGCCUGACGCANCCAUGCCGCGUGUGUGAAGAAGGCUCUAGGGUUGUAAAGCACUUUCAAUUGGGAGAAAAAGCCAGUGGUUAAUACCCGUUGGUCUUGAUGUUACCUUUAGAAGAAGCACCGGCNUAACUCCGUGCCAGCAGCCGCGGUAAUACGGAGGGUGCNAGCGUUAAUCGGAAUUACUGGGCGUAAAGCGCGCGUAAGCGGUUUGUUAAGUCGGAUGUGAAAGCCCC